UACGGGGGGAGCAAGCGUUGUUCGGAGUUACUGGGCGUAAAGGGCGCGUAGGCGGCCACCGCAAGUCGGUUGUGAAAUCUCUGGGCUUAACCCAGAAAGGUCAACCGAUACUGCGGGGCUAGAGUGCAGAAGGGGCAACUGGAAUUCUCGGUGUAGCGGUGAAAUGCGUAGAUAUCGAGAGGAACACCUGCGGCGAAGGCGGGUUGCUGGGCUGACACUGACGCUGAGGCGCGAAAGCGUGGGGAGCAAACGGG
rnacentral:rRNA from 1 species